GGAAUAUUGCACAAUGGGCGAAAGCCUGAUGCAGCGACGCCGCGUGGAGGAUGACGGCCUUAGGGUUGUAAACUCCUGUUAAGUGGGAAGAAAACGCAUCUUCUAAUAAAGGAUGUGUAUGACGGUACCACCAGAGAAAGCACCGGCUAACUUCGUGCCAGCAGCCGCGGUAAUACGAGGGGUGCAAGCGUUAUUCGGAAUAACUGGGCGUAAAGGGUGUGGAGACGGCUUAUUAAGCUUGCUGUUAAAUCCUCCGGCCUAACCGGAGAGCAGCGGUGAGAACUGAUGAGCUAGAGUGUGGAAGAGAGAAGUGGAAUUCCCGGAGUAGCGGUAAAAUGCGUAGAUCUCGGGAGGAACACCGAUGGCGAAGGCAGCUUCUUGGUCCAUUACUGACGUUGAGACACGAAAGCGUGGGGAGCAAAC
rnacentral:rRNA from 1 species